rnacentral:rRNA from 1 species
GGAUCGGGGGGACGGGGGUGGUUCGCCACUCGCGACGUCUUGAGAAGUCCAUUG